GGUAAACCACUUUACGCAGCAAUGAAACGCAAACUAGUUAUCAGUGCUCAACCUUGCUUGUUCGUGUGGACCCUAUGUUUCAAGUAAACUCUUGAAUCGUACAUAUGAAUUGGUAUCUGUCCUCUGUAGUUGUUAAUGUACCUAAACACCUAUACUAAGUACGUGUUCGUUUUCGCUUUUAAAUUAGUCGACAGUGAUUAUCUGCAGAUCGUGAAAACUUUUAUUUUCGUUUGGUAGAAGCUGUGCUGUUGAAUGAGUAGACUGACGCCAGUUAUGUGCUGAAUAAGUUCAAAUGUAAGUUCAACAACACCAAGAAUUAGAAAUGACCGAAGUCACGUCAUCGUCACAAGUGUACGAUAUUUUCCAUCCCACUCCAGUAUCGCUGCAACAACUAUCUGCAAUCGCCGUGAGCCUGGAAAUAUGGCGACGUAGACUGAAUGAAUACCGCACAGGUAGAAAAUUGCAAAAAUUAUAUGACUCAUGGCUAUGGAUUGUGCCAAAUACCUGUAGUCCAGUAGAAUUAGCAGAAAAAACAGGGCCUAUAUGGAAAGACUUCCGGGCAAGCUGAAUUUUGGAAUAUAGGGGUAUUUUGAU